GAUCGCUAUGAUCGCCAGGAACUUUACUUUUGGUUUCUAAUUUUAAUUGUUGCGCUACUGGUGAUGCCUGUUGAUGUUAGGUAGGCAGCUACAGUAGCUGAAUGAUGUUAACAUCUUCGGGUUUUGUUUCAUUAAAUGUAUUUUAUUUCAUCUGGGUGCUUACGUCACCUACUAACACCCUGGUACUACCCGUAGCUCCCGUUCAACUCAGUCUGAUAAAACACUGAGAGAGAAAGAACAACUUGUCAGGUGGUGCAUUGGAGACUGAUGUGUUCCUGUCCUGUCUUUUCACAAUACUAUUGCAGAUCAACAUAAAAGACAGCCGUGGUGUCACUCUUCAUUUCUUCAGAUCUAUGUUUAGAGGCAGCUGUUCCUCGUUGCCUCUAAUUGAAGGUCCUAUUUAGUAGGGGUGUUUUUUCCAUGGGUUUUGUGGGUAGUUGUUCCGUGUAUAGCUGUGAGCCUUACAGGACUGUUUUUCGUCGUUGUUUUUGAAAACGUUUUUUUUUUUUUUUCUUCUAAUAAAAGAAGAUGAGUAUUCAUAUACCCGCUGCGUUUUGGUCCACUUUUUACGACGAACCUGACAGAACUACCCACCAAACGAGGACCAGGCAGCGGAGAAAGGAGCAGCAAAGGAGCUAUAGGGAGUCAUAGACCUGGGAGGAGAUCCUGGAUGGGGCAGGACCAUGGCACCAGGCUGGGGAGUACCAACGCCCUAAGGAGGAGCUGGAGGCAGCCAAGGCGGAGCGGCGCCAUUACGAGGCAUUAUUCGCACGGAUUGGCGAGUGCGAGAGGCAGCCCCCCAUGCUUAUUAUGGGGAGCAACGGAUCAUGAAGGCACCAAGCUAUGCGAAAAUACGCACCGCAGCUAUCAUGCCUCAGCACAGCCCAGUUCGCCCUGUGCCAGCACUCCGCCCGUGCCAAGCUAUGUUAACAAUCCAGCCAGAACGGGUUGUGCAGGUUGUGCGCUCCAGUGUGUAGUCAAGGCCCCGUGUAUCCAGUUCCUGUUCCUCGCACUAGCCUUGAGGUGCGUGUCACCAGCCUGGCACCUCCAAAGCCAGCCCCACGCACCAGGCCUUUAGUGCGCCUGCCCAGUCCGGUACGUCCUGUUCCUGCUCCUCGCACUAGCCCUGUGGUGCGCGUCCCUAGUCUGGCGCCUCCAAAGCCAGCCCCAUGCACCAGGCCUUUAGUGCGCCUGCCCAGUCCAGUAUGUCCUGC
rnacentral:lncRNA from 1 species